rnacentral:rRNA from 1 species
AACGAACGCUGGCGGCAGGCUUAACACAUGCAAGUCGAACGGGUGUAGCAAUACAUCAGUGGCAGACGGGUGAGUAACACGUGGGAACCUUCCUAGGGGUACGGAACAACUCAGGGAAACUUGAGCUAAUACCGUAUACGUCCGUGAGGAGAAAGAUUUAUCGCCCUUAGACGGGCCCGCGUCGGAUUAGCUAGUUGGUGGGGUAACGGCCUACCAAGGCGACGAUCCGUAGCUGAUCUUAGAGGAUGAUCAGCCACACUGGGACUGAGACACGGCCCAGACUCCUCCGGGAGGCAGCAGUGGGGAAUCUUGGACAAGGGGCGCAAGCCUGAUCCAGCCAUGCCGCGUGAGUGAAGAAGGUCUUCAGAUUGUAAAGCUCUUUUGCCAGGGACGAUAAUGACGGUACCUGGAGAAUAAGCCCCGGCAAACUUCGUGCCAGCAGCCGCCGUAA